rnacentral:rRNA from 1 species
CGGUUGAUCCUGCCGGAGGCCACUGCUAUCGGAGUUUGAUUAAGCCAUGCGAGUCGAGAGGUGCAAGACCUCGGCAUACUGCUCAGUAACACGUGGACAACCUACCCUAUGGAGGGGGAUAACCCCGGGAAACUGGGGAUAAUACCCCAUAGAUUAUGGAAGCUGGAAUGCUCUGUAAUUGAAAGGUCCGCCGCCAUAGGAUGGGUCUGCGGCCGAUUAGGUUGUUGUUGGGGUAACGGCCCAACAAGCCUGUAAUCGGUACGGGUUGUGGGAGCAAGAGCCCGGAGAUGGAUUCUGAGACACGAAUCCAGGCCCUACGGGGCGCAGCAGGCGCGAAAACUUUACAAUGCGGGAAACCGUGAUAAGGGAACUCCGAGUGCCCGUAAAAUCGGGCUGUCCAUCUGUUUAAAUAACAGGUGAAGAAAGGGCCGGGCAAGACCGGUGCCAGCCGCCGCGGUAAUACCGGCGGCUCGAGUGGUGGCCACUAUUACUGGGCUUAAAGCGUUCGUAGCUGGUCUGUUAAGUCUCUGGGGAAAUCUACUGGCUUAACCAAUAGACGUUUCAGGGAUACUGGCAGACUAGGGACCGGGAGAGGUGAGAGGUACUCCAGGGGUAGGAGUGAAAUCCUGUAAUCCUUGGGGGANCACCUGUGGCGAAGGNGUCUCACCAGAACGGCUCCNACAGUGAGGGANGAAAGCUGGGGGAGCAAACCGGAUUAGAUACCCGGGUAGUCCCAGCCNUAAACGAUGUGCGUUAGGUGUAUCGAUGACCACNAGUCAUCGAGNGCC